rnacentral:rRNA from 1 species
CCCGGGCCUUGUACACACCGCCCGUCACACCAUGGGAGUUGGUUUUACCCGAAGACGGUGCGCUAACCGCAAGGAGGCAGCCGGCCACGGUAGGGUCAGCGACUGGGGUG